rnacentral:rRNA from 1 species
CUACGGGCGGCAGCAGUGAGGAAUAUUGCACAAUGGGGGGAACCCUGAUGCAGCAACGCCGCGUGGAGGAUGACGCAUUUCGGUGUGUAAACUCCUUUUAUAUGUCAAGAAAAUGACGGUAGCAUAUGAAUAAGCACCGGCUAACUCCGUGCCAGCAGCCGCGUUAAUACGGAGGGUGCAAGCGUUACUCGGAAUCACUGGGCGUAAAGGACGCGUAGGCGGGUUGGAAAGUCAGGUGUGAAAUCCUACAGCUUAACUGUAGAACUGCACUUGAAACUUCUAAUCUAGAGUAUGGGAGGGGGAGAUGGAAUUAGUGGUGUAGGGGUAAAAUCCGUAGAUAUCACUAGGAAUACCUAAAGCGAAGGCGAUCUCCUGGAACAUUACUGACGCUAAGGCGUGAAAGCGUGGGGAGCAAACAGGAUUAGAUACCCGAGUACUC